GAAUGCAGACCAACUGAAAUGUUGAAGCCUACAAAUAUAUCAUCCAAGCUUUCAUUUAUGAUUGUUCAUGCUUUUAAAUUAAACUUUAUCAAUUUGAUAAAGUGUGCAGUGCUAGGUGUAGCAAAUCAUUGCUUAUUAAAUCUGUGUUAUCUAAUAGCACCAAACUAAUAGAGCUAUCACAUAACUGAGAAACUUGUGUGGCUUAUUACAAAUGGAUGAAACCACAUUUUACCUUAAUGAAGACAGUAAUCUUUAAUAAGGUGUAGAAAAAAGAGGUGAGUUGUUUGUUGCUGUGGUAAACAAAGAAGUGUACUGAAUCUUUUGGACUACACAGAUUGAUGUAGUAUUGAUUGUGAUGCUGAUCUGAGUUGUCUCAUUCUGUAUUUUUGUGCUUUGUCUUUUGUUACACAGAGUGAACGAGAUCUUUGGUUUUGCCUUUGCUGACUGCUGAUCUGAUCGUCUCAAGUCUGGUGACCUGCUGCAGAAAACCCUCUCCCUCUAUCAUUAACAAGCAAUUCAGUCUGUCCUAUCACUCUCCCUCUCCCUGCUCCAUCUUUUUUGACAAGCCAUUCUAUCUUCUAUCAUUUCUCCGCCAUGAGCUCUAUCUAAGUUGACAAGCUUGAACCUGAGUUGAAACGCAAUCCUGUGACUUGAAA